CGAGGAGUAGCGUAGCUUGGUUUAACGCGCUUGCUUUGGGAGCAAGAGAUCGUGAGUUCAAAUCUCUCCUCCUCGA
rnacentral:tRNA from 1 species